rnacentral:rRNA from 1 species
GGUGAUGGAUGGGGAUGCGUCUGAUUAGCUUGUUGGCGGGGUAACGGCCCACCAAGGCCACGAUCAGUAGGGGUUCUGAGAGGAAGGUCCCCCACAUUGGAACUGAGACACGGUCCAAACUCCUACGGGAGGCAGCAGUGAGGAAUAUUGGUCAAUGGGCGAGAGCCUGAACCAGCCAAGUAGCGUGCAGGAUGACGGCCCUAUGGGUUGUAAACUGCUUUUAUAAGGGAAUAAAGUGAGCCUCGUGAGGCUUUUUGCAUGUACCUUAUGAAUAAGGACCGGCUAAUUCCGUGCCAGCAGCCGCGGUAAUACGGAAGGUCCGGGCGUUAUCCGGAUUUAUUGGGUUUAAAGGGAGCGUAGGCCGGAGAUUAAGCGUGUUGUGAAAUGUAGAUGCUCAACAUCUGCACUGCAGCGCGAACUGGUUUCCUUGAGUACGCACAAAGUGGGCGGAAUUCGUGGUGUAGCGGUGAAAUGCUUAGAUAUCACGAAGAACUCCGAUUGCGAAGGCAGCUCACUGGAGCGCAACUGACGCUGAAGCUCGAAAGUGCGGGUAUCGAACAGGAUUAGAUACCCUGGUAGUCCGCACGGUAAACGAUGGAUGCCCGCUGUUGGUCUGAAUAGGUCAGCGGCCAAGCGAAAGCAUUAAGCAUCCCACCUGGGGAGUAC